GACGAACGCUGGCGGCGUGCUUAACACAUGCAAGUCGAACGGAAAGGCCCUGCUUUUGUGGGGUGCUCGAGGGGCGAACGGGUGAGUAACACGUGAGUAACCUGCCCUUGACUUUGGGAUAACUUCAGGAAACUGGGGCUAAUACCGGAUAGGAGCUCCUGCUGCAGGGUGGGGGUGGGAAAGUUUCGGCGGUUGGGGAUGGACUCGCGGCUUAUCAGCUUGUUGGUGGGGUAGUGGCUUACCAAGGCUUUGACGGGUAGCCGGCCUGAGAGGGUGACCGGCCACAUUGGGACUGAGGUACGGCCCAGACUCCUACGGGAGGCAGCAGUGGGGAAUAUUGCACAAUGGGCGGAAGCCUGAUGCAGCAACGCCGCGUGCGGGAUGACGGCCUUCGGGUUGUAGGCCGCUUUCGCCUGUGACGCAGCGUGAGUGACGGUAAUGGGUAAAGAAGCACCGGCUAACUACGUG
rnacentral:rRNA from 1 species